GGAAUCUCACAGGGAGCGAACAGCCACCCCCACUCAGGCCCCGCCCCCGGCCCAUUCACUCGGAAUCUGUGGGGCGGAGCUGUCUACGGGCUCCCUGGGCUGAGCCCGCCUGUCUGCUGGCGGGAAGCCAGAGGUCCGGGCUGAGGUCCCUGUGCCACAGGUUCUCAGCACGAUGCCUUACUGCGCGAGCCCAAACUUGUGUGCCUCAGCUUCCUUGUCGGCUUCGAGGGGAUAAAGAUGCCUGUCCUGGGCUGGCCUGGGGUUGGGUGGUGCCCCUGCAUCCCCAAGUGGAUGGUGAGCCAGAGGGCAGGAGCCACAGCUUCCUCGGUGCUGCGUGCAGAAGGGGAAGAAGGGCAGCCGGUGGGAACCGGGACCCAGGCGGAGAGGAAGGCCAGGUGUCUCCACUUAUCAUAAGAGUCUCCAGCGUACAGUUCUCGGUACAGUUCUCCAGAUCCCCAGACCUAGACUUGUAGUCCUGGAAGGAAGGUUUGACCAUCCCCCACUCGGGGUUCCCAAACACCAGGCUGGGGCCUGGGGCCAGCCAGUGACAAGCCCUCACCCGUCAGAGGCGAAAUGAAACCCGUGAGCACAGCACAAAGAGAUGAGGAAACAGAAGUCACCUGCUCAGGGUCACACAGCUGCUCACCAGCGCAGCCUUAACCCAAUCCCGGGCGGCACUCCUGGCACUGUGCUCGUAACCACUCUGCUGUCCUGCCUGGCCCUCCCUGGACCGCUCUGCAAUCUCUGGGCAAGUCUGGAAUGGAGUGUCCAGCCCCCCAUCUGACACGUGCAGGCUCUGUCUUCUCUGCUUCCAGACUUCAUCCAGACCCCGGGCAUGGGGGAAAACCGGUUGGAUGGGGGAGCCCAGGGGUUCCUGGGGUGAGGGAAUAAAGGAGUGGUUAUUCUUAGCCUGGACUCUUAGUAUCCUAUUCAUAGGCAAGGCCUCCCGGGGGACGGGCCUCCGGGCUCUAACCCUCUAACCGCAGGCACUGGACUCAGCGGAUCAUCAUCGCAGCGCCUGUGCAAGGCGGUCUGCUGACCCAGCCCUGGGCAGCCGGC
ensembl:lncRNA